GAGUUUGAUCAUGGCUCAGAUCAACGCUGGCGGCGUGCCUCAGACAUGCAAGUCGAACGCGAAAGUUCCCUUCGGGGAGCAAGUAGAGUGGCGCACGGGUGAGUAACACGUAGGUAAUCUACCUUUGGAUGGGGAAUAACCCCGAGAAAUCGGGGCUAAUACCGCAUAAUGCAGCGGCACCUAAUGGUGACAGUUGUUAAAGCGGGGGAUCGAAAGACCUCGCGUCUAAAGAGGAGCCUGCGGCGGAUUAGCUAGUUGGUAAGGUAACGGCUUACCAAGGCAAUGAUCCGUAACCGGCCUGAGAGGGCGGUCGGUCACACUGACACUGACAUACGGGUCAGACUCCUACGGGAGGCAGCAGUCGGGAAUUUUGGGCAAUGGGCGAAAGCCUGACCCAGCAACGCCGCGUGAAGGAUGAAAUCCCUCGGGAUGUAAA
rnacentral:rRNA from 1 species